AUUCAGCUGACGAGUCCCAAAUAGGACGAAACAUAAGUUAUGGAU
rnacentral:hammerhead_ribozyme from 1 species